rnacentral:rRNA from 1 species
AACGAACGCUGGCGGCAGGCCUAACACAUGCAAGUCGAGCGAGGACUUCGGUUCUAGCGGCGGACGGGUGAGUAACGCGUGGGAAUGUGCCCUUCUCUACGGAAUAGCCCUGGGAAACUGGGAGUAAUACCGUAUACGCCCUAUUGGGGAAAGAUUUAUCGGAGAAGGAUCAGCCCGCGUUGGAUUAGGUAGUUGGUGGGGUAAUGGCCUACCAAGCCGACGAUCCAUAGCUGGUUUGAGAGGAUGAUCAGCCACACUGGGACUGAGACACGGCCCAGACUCCUACGGGAGGCAGCAGUGGGGAAUCUUAGACAAUGGGGGCAACCCUGAUCUAGCCAUGCCGCGUGAGUGAUGAAGGCCUUAGGGUUGUAAAGCUCUUUCAGCUGGGAAGAUAAUGACGGUACCAGCAGAAGAAGCCGCGGCUAACUCCGUG